GUCCUCGGUGGCUCAGUCGGCUAGAGCGUCUGCCAUACCAGCAGAAGACCCCGGGUUCGAAUCCCGGUCAGGGCA